CCUACGGGUGGCAGCAGUGAGGAAUAUUGGUCAAUGGCCGGAAGGCUGAACCAGCCAAGUCGCGUGAGGGAAUAAGGCCCUAUGGGUCGUAAACCUCUUUUGUCAGGGAGCAAAGGCGUCCACGAGUGGACGAAAGGAGAGUACCUGCAGAAAAAGCAUCGGCUAACUCCGUGCCAGCAGCCGCGGUAAUACGGAGGAUGCGAGCGUUAUCCGGAUUUAUUGGGUUUAAGGGGUGCGUAGGCGGAGUGUCAAGUCAGCGGUAAAAUUUCGGGGCUCAACCCCGUCGUGCCGUUGAAACUGACAGCCUUGAGUGAGUGAGAGGUAAGCGGAAUGCGUGGUGUAGCGGUGAAAUGCAUAGAUAUCACGCAGAACGCUGAUUGCGAAGGCAGCUUCCCGGCGCUCAACUGACGCUGAGGCACGAAGGUGCGGGUAUCGAACAGGAUUAGAUACCCGGGUAGUC
rnacentral:rRNA from 1 species